rnacentral:rRNA from 1 species
GACGAACGCUGGCGGCGUGCUUAACACAUGCAAGUCGAACGGAAAGGCCCUGCUUUUGUGGGGUGCUCGAGUGGCGAACGGGUGAGUAACACGUGAGUAACCUGCCCUUGACUUUGGGGUAACUUCAGGAAACUGGGGCUCAUACCGGAUAGGAGCUCCUGCUGCAUGGUGGGGGUUGGAAAGAUUCGGCGGUUGGGGAUGGACGCGCGGCUUAUCAGCUUGUUGGUGAGGUAGUGGCUUACCAAGGCUUUGACGGGUAGCCGGCCUGAGAGGGUGACCGGCCACAUUGGGACUGAGAUACGGCCCAGACUCCUACGGGAGGCAGCAGUGGGGAAUAGUGCACAAUGGGCGGAAGCCUGAUGCAGCAACGCCGCGUGCGGGAUGACGGCCUUCGGGUUGUAAACCGCUUGCGCCUGUGACGAAGCGUGAGUGACGGUAAUGGGUAAAGAAGCAACGGCUAACUACGUG